rnacentral:rRNA from 1 species
UGAACGCUAGCUACAGGCUUAACACAUGCAAGUCGAGGGGCAGCAUGGUCUUAGCUUGCUAAGGCCGAUGGCGACCGGCGCACGGGUGAGUAACACGUAUCCAACCUGCCGUCUACUCUUGGACAGCCUUCUGAAAGGAAGAUUAAUACAAGAUGGCAUCAUGAGUCCGCAUGUUCACAUGAUUAAAGGUAUUCCGGUAGACGAUGGGGAUGCGUUCCAUUAGAUAGUAGGCGGGGUAACGGCCCACCUAGUCUUCGAUGGAUAGGGGUUCUGAGAGGAAGGUCCCCCACAUUGGAACUGAGACACGGUCCAAACUCCUACGGGAGGCAGCAGUGAGGAAUAUUGGUCAAUGGGCGAGAGCCUGAACCAGCCAAGUAGCGUGAAGGAUGACUGCCCUAUGGGUUGUAAACUUCUUUUAUAAAGGAAUAAAGUCGGGUAUGGAUACCCGUUUGCAUGUACUUUAUGAAUAAGGAUCGGCUAACUCCGUGCCAGCAGCCGCGGUAAUACGGAGGAUCCGAGCGUUAUCCGGAUUUAUUGGGUUUAAAGGGAGCGUAGAUGGAUGUUUAAGUCAGUUGUGAAAGUUUGCGGCUCAACCGUAAAAUUGCAGUUGAUACUGGAUAUCUUGAGUGCAGUUGAGGCAGGCGGAAUUCGUGGUGUAGCGGUGAAAUGCUUAGAUAUCACGAAGAACUCCGAUUGCGAAGGCAGCCUGCUAAGCUGCAACUGACAUUGAGGCUCGAAAGUGUGGGUAUCAAACAGGAUUAGAUACCCUGGUAGUCCACACGGUAAACGAUGAAUACUCGCUGUUUGCGAUAUACUGCAAGCGGCCAAGCGAAAGCGUUAAGUAUUCCACCUGGGGAGCACGCCGGCAACGGUGAAACUCAAAGGAAUUGACGGGGGCCCGCACAAGCGGAGGAACAUGUGGUUUAAUUCGAUGAUACGCGAGGAACCUUACCCGGGCUUAAAUUGCAGAUGAAUUACGGUGAAAGCCGUAAGCCGCAAGGCAUCUGUGAAGGUGCUGCAUGGUUGUCGUCAGCUCGUGCCGUGAGGUGUCGGCUUAAGUGCCAUAACGAGCGCAACCCUUGUUGUCAGUUACUAACAGGUUCCGCUGAGGACUCUGACAAGACUGCCAUCGUAAGAUGUGAGGAAGGUGGGGAUGACGUCAAAUCAGCACGGCCCUUACGUCCGGGGCUACACACGUGUUACAAUGGGGGGUACAGAGGGCCGCUACCACGCGAGUGGAUGCCAAUCCCCAAAACCUCUCUCAGUUCGGACUGGAGUCUGCAACCCGACUCCACGAAGCUGGAUUCGCUAGUAAUCGCGCAUCAGCCACGGCGCGGUGAAUACGUUCCCGGGCCUUGUACACACCGCCCGUCAAGCCAUGGGAGCCGGGGGUACCUGAAGUGCGUAACCGCGAGGAGCGCCCUAGGGUAAAACUGGUGACUGGGGCUAAG